GAUGAAGAACGUAGCGAAAUGCGAUAAGUAAUGUGAAUUGCAGAAUUCAGUGAAUCAUCGAAUCUUUGAACGCACAUUGCGCCCGCCAGUAUUCUGGCGGGCAUGCCUGUUCGAGCGUCAUUACAACCCUCAGGCCCCGGGCCUGGCGUUGGGGAUCGGCGGAAGCCCCCUGUGGGCACACGCCGUCCCUCAAAUACAGUGGCGGUCCCGCCGCAGCUUCCAUUGCGUAGUAGCUAACACCUCGCAACUGGAGAGCGGCGCGGCCAUGCCGUAAAACACCCAACUUCUGAAUGUUGACCUCGAAUCAGGUAGGAAUACCCGCUGAACUUAAGCAUAUCAAUAAGCGGAGGA
rnacentral:misc_RNA from 1 species